AUGGCUCUUCGAGGGACACAAGUCCAAGUGCCGGAUACCAGAAUAAGAACUGGGAAGACUUUUCAAAACAUAACACUAAAAACAUUUAUGGGCCAGGCACCAGAAGAACAUCACAAAAAUUAACUCAAGGAAUCCUCACUAUAACUAAUAAGCAUAUGCUACAGGUACCUACAUUUUACAGAUGAGAAAACUGAGGCCCGAAGAGAUUGAACAACUUGCCCAAGAUUGCAUAGUAAGGGGAAGAAACAGGAUUUGUUUCUUUAUGUUGUUGUUUUCUUUUGUUUUUUGCCUUUUUGUCCUUUUUUAGGGCCUCACCCAAGGCAUAUGGAGGUUCCCAGGCUAGCCGUCGAAUCGGAGCUAUUGCUGCUGUCCUGUGCCACAGCCACAGCAACGCCAGAUCCAAGUCGUGUCUGCUACCUAUACCACAGUUCACGGCAACGCUGGAUCCUUAACCCACUGAUCGAGGCCAGGGAUUGAACCCGAAACCUCAUGGUUCCUAGUCUGAUUCAUUUCCCCCGCACCACUACGGGAACUCCAGAGACAGGCUUUGAAUACUCCAGAGUCUGCAUGGCUGGCAAGCCAAGGCAAAAAUGCAUGUCCAGCAAACCCAGGUCAAAGCCUUUGUUGUGGUCAAAGCCUUUGUUGUGGUCAAAGCCUCAGUUGCACACAACUGGCUCCACUACCUUGCUCUGAGCUCCCUGUAUCUAGAGUUGAAUCACUGACACACACACAAAAGCGACACUGAAUCCUUCCUUCCACUAAUUGCUCUCCCAGAAGCUGUUUUCAGUUCUCACAGCAGCUCUGCUCACACAGCAGCAAACUCUGAAUAUCAGUCACAUUCAAGAGCAAGGGCUUGAAACAUAUAUCAGAGGGAGAGAGAGGAACCGAGCCACAGCCUUCUUCUGGGAAGGCAUGUGAGUUUUUCACGGGCGGGGCUGCUUUCAAUGUGAACUUCUCCUCUUUGUUUCUGUGUCCACCUGUUACCAGACCAGAUGGCCCCAGCUAGCCUUUUCUUUCACAGGCUCCAAAUAAAACGCAACCCCAUUCUGAGACCCAACUGCCUUCCACCCACUGACACUAACUCCCUCUUUACACAGGUGCUCUCAAAGGCUUUCAGUUAGACACCUACACAAUCUGACGACUGGGGAGAGGAGGCCCGGAGUGGGUGCUUAGACUUUCACUGAGCCUUUCACUAAAUCCUGAGUGGGCUCUCACUGCAUACGAAGCAUCACUCUAGGUUUGUGGAUACAGAAGAAAGAGGCAGCAAUGGUGGCUCCCCUUUAUGGAGCUUACAGCUCACAGGCACACCAAAGCAGUUUCAUUCAUGGGCAUUGAGACAGGAGAGGUGCCUUGAUGGAGAAGUAAGUGCAUCCUGGGGUGUUCAGCAGGUGACUCCCACCUCUUGGCAAUCAGGAGGAGGCCCCCUCCAAGAAGUGGUGGAUUAAAGCUGUCACCAGAAGGGAAAUGCAGGUGCUGGUUCAAAAUAGGGACCAAGAACAGGCAUUAAAGCAAAGGGGACUGCAUUUGCAAAAAAAAGCCUGAAACCUAUAAGGAACAGUCAGUGUCGUGAGGGGCUGGAGACAUCGAGAAGCUACAGGGUGAGACAGACAUGCCAGGGCUGGUUGGCCUUAGUAAACCAGCUGGAUGUUCCCUGGAGGCCAGGAAAGAAUUUCUAGCAGCAAAAUGACACUGUCAGAUCUGCAUUUUAAAGACCAUUCUGGGUGCAGCUAAUCAGUAGUGGAGGCAGAGCUGGGAUUUGAAUUCAGGGCUUUUGUCUCCCUGUCCUUUGUUCUCUUUCGCCAGCCUCGGAGCAUGAGCCCUGGUCUCGGCAUUUGUGUUUGAGGAACCCUGUUCUGUUUGUGUCCAAACCCUCUUAGCCACUUCCUCAUCAGUGGUGAAGCAUAGCUUGAAACGUAGGCCCAGAUGCAUGGCCUAAGCCCAUUCUAGGUCUUAUUCUAGAUGUGUGCUCUUGGGAAAGUUAAUGAACAUCUUUGGGCCUCAGGUUCUCAUCUGCAAAAUGAUAGUAAAGGUCCACCUCGGAUCCUGAGAUGAUUUUAAAAGAUAACACAAGUAAUACAUUAUGAAAUGCAUGGUCUAUGAUCUAUGACCUAACGUCAAUACCCAAUACACAGAAACUGUGUCACUGGAAUGCCCUUUUACAAGAGGGAAUUCAAAGACUUUGGCUGAAGUUUUCCAUUUAUGUUUUAUUUUCUCCUCUUCUCUCUCUCUCUCUCUUUUUUUUUUUUUUUUUUUUUUUUUCCUGUUCAUGUUGUCUCAAGGACUUCCAAGCUGGAAGUAACCAAUGGUUUUGUUACCUUCAGUCCAGUAAGGCUCCUCCCUGCCCUGGCUAUAGGAAGGACCACUAACAUAGGCCUGGCUGGUCCUAGCACUCCAUUCCCAUCAAGGGAUGGGCUAUUGUUUUAAAGGGGCCAGUGAUAAUCCUUGCCUGAGAUCAACACACAGAGGCUGUUAGGAGUUCUCUCUCCCGCAGCAGCAGCAGCCAGCCGUGUGCACCAGAGGCCAGGACGCAGGGAGGAAUGAAGAGGGCAGGGCUGAGUAUCAGAUGAACAGAGCAAGCACUUGAACGACGUUGGGUUGCAGGUCCUAGUCCCUGAGGCCACGGUUGUCACAGCUCUUUUUUUACACUUCUGUGAACCACCUCCACAGCCCUGCAGAUUUCUCCAGUCACCAAUUCCCCAGCUUGCUUUAGCCCAGUUGAGAGGAGAUUUAACACUUGCAAACCAAAAGAGUUCUGACAAACUGCACAGCUGCUGAGGUCACAGGCAACUCUGAAUCAUGGAUGUAGAGCCCCAAAGUUCAAAGAGUCCUCAAAGGUCUUCCAGAAAAAAACAACAAAUAACAAAAAAGAAACAACUUUGCUUUUAAGUAGUGAAGUCUUCUUUUCAAAUAUUUGGAAGUCCAAAUAUAUAACAUAGGUCAAAGGAGAAGUAGCCUUAUCGCUGUGAGAGUGUGCAACCAUCGACCCUGCUCACCAGCUCCCAAUUCUAGCCACCUCGCCUGCAUCCAUCUCAAAGUCAAUGUCUGACCCAACUUCCUACAUUAGGAAUCACCUCGACCACAUCUUUGACACUUGGUCAUUAAGCCCUAGUUGAACACAUUCACAACAGGCAGCUGAUGAAGCCACGAGGCAGUCCACUUCCUUUUGCAGACUUUUCUGAUAGCGACACAGAUCCUCAUCUGCCUUGUGGUAACACUUAUUCAUGGGUCCAGGUCUUCACUGGUAAAACAGCUAAAUAAAUACACCUUUCCAAUGGCAGCCCUUCCUGAAGCUGAUUUUCCUGCCCCACUGACACAUCGUCGGUUUCUUCCUCAUGGGACCUCAGGUCCAGCUAAUGAGAUGCCUAAAAUAAGCAGACUGCUGUAUGAAGUGUAAUUUAAGAAAGGACAUAAAGAUAAAAAGCUUAAAGUUAGAGAAAGUAUUUAUUUAGAAAAAACAAACAAACACAGAAGUUUCUGGGAGACCCUAUAACUUCUGAUGUGUAACAUUUUCUCCGGGCACUGUACUCGGGGCUGUGCACACCUCUUCUCCUUUUUACUUUCACCCCACAACCCACUCACAAAUUUAGGAAUGAUAUCUAUCCCCAUUUAAAAGAGGAGGCAGGAGUUCCCCUCAUGGCUCAGUGGAAAUGAAUCUGACUAGCAUCCAUGAGUAUGCAGGUAUGAACCCUGGCCUUGGUCAGUGGGUUAAGGAUCCACUGUUGCUGUGAGCUGUGGUAUAGGUGGUAGAUGUGGCUCAGAUUCCACAUUGCUGUAGAUGUGGCAGAGGCUGGCAGCUACAGCUCUGUUUCGACUCCUAGCCUGCGAACUUGCAUAUGCCGUGGAUCCGGCCCUAAAAAGAUAACCCAAAAAUAAAUAAAUAAAUAAAUAAAAGGCGGCCCAGGAAGUUCCCUUUGUGGCUCAGUGGUAACAAACAUGACUAGUAUCCAUGAGGAUGCUGAUUUGAUCCUGGGCCUUGCUCAGUGGGUUAAGGAUCCAGCGUUGCCAUGAGCUGUGGUGUAGGUCUCAGACAAUGCUCAGAUCCCAAGUUGAUGUGGCUGUGGCAUAGGCUGGCAGCUACAGCCCUUAUUAAACCCCUACCUAGGAAAUGUCUGUAUGCUGCAGGUGCAGCCCUAAAUACCAAAAUAAAUACAUAAGUAAAUAAAUUUUAAAAAUUAAAAAUAAAUAAUUAAAUAAAUUUAAAAAGGAGGCCCAGAGGAAUGAAAGUCACUGAUCUCAAGGUCAAGAGCUAAUAUUUGGUAGGACUGGAAUUUGAACUCAGAUUUCACCUGACUCCAAACCUGGGGCUUUAGGUGUAUUUCUAGUAGAAAACACGACUUUCUUCUUCUGACCAUCUAACCCUGGAAGAUAAGACGUAGCACUGGAAAGAUAACACUGAUGCAGAUGAUUUUUGCAAAAUUUACAUCACAGUGGUCAGGACCCAAGGCAGACCAUUCUUUGCAGUUAAGCCUUGGAGAAACUUCUUUUCAAACAUGACACAGUCCUUGUGUGUUAGAGAUGAUUUAAUCUGUUACUUGAACAACCAUCAAGGAAGACAUGAGUCUCAGGGGCUGGGAUGACAGAACAUGACUGUCUGUGUGACCAAAUUGAUUAUAGUUGGGACCCAGCUGCCUUGUUCUCUUGCCCAGGGAGUCUCUUGAAAUUCCUUCCCAACAGAGUCCUACUUCUGGGUAUCACUGUGAUCGAGGAAGAAGGUCUGGGGAGCAAAGAGGUGCAGGAACAAGUUUGGUCCACCCUGGAGCCUGUGGUGUCACCAGAAAGGGAGCUUGGCCUCUUGUUUCCUGCUUUCUAGCUUUAUGGUCACAUGGGUAUUCCAUGGCUGUGUCUGAUAUUUUCUUAAAAUGUGCCAGCUGUGAACUGUCACAGUAAUAAAGU
rnacentral:lncRNA from 1 species